rnacentral:rRNA from 1 species
AUUGAACGCUGGCGGCGUGCCUAACACAUGCAAGUCGAGCGGUAACAGGUGUAGCAAUACAUGCUGACGAGCGGCGAACGGGUGAGUAAUGCUUCGGAAUCUACCCAAUGGUGGGGAAUAACCAGCCGAAAGGUUGGCUAAUACCGCAUACGUCCCACGGGAGAAAGCAGGGGAUCGCAAGACCUUGCGCCAAUGGAUGAGCCGAAGUCGGAUUAGCUAGUUGGAGGGUAACGGCCUACCAAGGCGACGAUCCGUAGCUGGUCUGAGAGGACGACCAGCCACACUGGGACUGAGACACGGCCCAGACUCCUACGGGAGGCAGCAGUGGGGAAUAUUGGACAAUGGGGGAAACCCUGAUCCAGCGACGCCGCGUGUGUGAAGAAGGCCUGCGGGUUGUAAAGCACUUUUAGUGGGGAUNAAAUGUUCAGGGUUAACACCUCUGGAUUUUGACCUAACCCACAGAAAAAG